AUUACAUAGUAAUCGUCAUAAACACGUGAUAAAUAUAAUCCGCCAACCAAAUAUUAAUAAUUUGUUUCCACUUGCAAUAACCAAUCAGAUUUCUCUGUAAUUGGUAUAUUUGUGUUGCACUUAAAAAUUAUUUUAUAUAAUUUUUGUGAGCUUAAAAUGGCGCGACCUCCAACUUUUUCAGAGGGUGAAUUAGUGAUCCUUGUCUAUGGAAUGGAUCAGUAUUUCCCGAGACGCAUAGGAGGUGUGAGAGGCAUUCAGCACGAGGACAGGGACCGCAUCAUCUAUGAGAUGAUGCAGCAAAUGAGAAGGGUGUCGGUAGUCCGCUGGUCUAGGCGCAGUUGUCUCCGGAGGUUUUUGGACCUACGUAGAUGCGAGUCGGAGCGAUAUCGCGAUUUGCGAUCGCUCAUUCCAGCAUAUCUCAGGCGUCCCAGAGAAAGAAUCCCCCGGUACGUAAAGCCGGUUUCAAUGGCAACACCGUUGAGCAACCGGUCCUCACCACCCCAUUGACCCUCCUUGAGGGUCGUCAAGAGGAUUCAGGGACAGAUGUGGAAGUCCCUGAUAUCCAAGACGAAUAAGUACCGGGGGAUGCUUUAGAACCGGCUUUGUCACCGGCAGUAGUUCAAGAGGAGUGGAAUAUCAAUAUCAGGGCACGCAAACUGGGCCCUUCCUUACUGAUAUAUUUGAGGAGCUUGCCCAGGGCCUCAACAUUGUUUCCAGGGCUGUGCGGGCCCUGCAGGAGGCCAUGCAUAGCCUUGAACAUUAAUGUAUCUUUAUAUUUUUGAUAUAAAAAAAAAAAUUGGUUAAUAAAUAUAUAUUUAAUAUUA